UAAUAGUGUAUAUUAAAGUUGUUGCAGUUAAAAAGCUCGUAGUUGAAUGUUGGUGUCGAACGAGCGGUCAGCUUCGGCUGUACUGCUCUCUCGACCCCUUCCUUCUGUGGACUACGUCGCACUUUACUGUGUGGCGCUAGGACGCAGAUCGUUUACUGUGAAAAAAUUAGAGUGUUCAAAGCAGGCCGUACGCUUGAAUACAUUAGCAUGGAAUAAUGGAAUAGGACGUCGGGCCUAUUUUGUUGGUUCUAGGACCGUCGUAAUGAUUAAUAGGGACAGUUGGGGCCGUUUAUAUUCCGUAGUCAGAGGUGAAAUUCUUGGAUUUACGGAAGAUAAACUACUGCGAAAGCAUUCGGCAAGGAUGUUUUCGUUAA
rnacentral:rRNA from 1 species